UUUCUUGCAGUCCUAAUGCAUGGAUAAAUGCUCAACUCCUGAUGCAUGGAGAAAAAACCUUCACAAGCCUCUGCUAAUGUGUAUAUAGUUUAUACUAAGUGACCCAUAGGUUGAGGAGGCCUUGACCGUGGUUGUGGAGGAGGAGAAUGAGGUAGCCAACACUGUUUUAUAUAUAUAUAAAAAAAGACAACUCUGUUCCGCAGAGUAGCUGUUGACAUUAUAGCUGCACAGGCACUUUGUUGACUCUAGAGAAACUCUGGCCAAUCGCACAUCCCCGUGGCAGCGACUUUGCAUGCGGAUGUCAUCCAUAUCAACUUUCAAUGCCAGUUUCUGCGCCUACCAUGGUGACCACGGGUAACGGGAAUCAGGGUUCAAUUCCGUACAGGGACCCUGAGAAACGGCUGCCACAUGCAAGGAAGGCAGCAGGCCACUCUCGACGCGGGAAGGUAGUGACGACAAAUAACAAUACAGGACUCUUUAGAGGCCCUGUAAUUGUAAUGAGUCCACUGGAAAUCCUUUAACUCUGAUCAAUUGGAGGGAAGUCUGNN
rnacentral:rRNA from 1 species